GUUCUGUCCAGGUGAAGACCCCCCGAGGCGUCGUGAAGGACAGGCCGUGGAGGCGUAUUCACGUGGUGGACCCCACACGGCAAGCCGAAGGCCCCAGGCGCAGCACAGGAGCUGGCCGUGGUCAGGUGGGUGCGAGAAGCAUCAGCAAGGAGGACAGGCAGGGUGGCCGGCGGGUGGAAAGUGCAGAAACAGGCCGCCCUGGCCGUGGCGCGAGAGUGGGAAGGCGACGGGUCGGGGCCCAUGACAGGGUGCCGUGAGUGCACCUUGUGGUUGAAUUUAAAAACUGGGUUUCCAUUUGUUUUAACAACCUCCGCUGUGGAGGGCGGAGCUCCAGGGCACGGCCAGGUCACGGUGACCAGCCUCCAAGUGGCCUGACUUCGCAAGCUGCUCAAGCCCAGAGACUAUUUUUUGUCCGUCACCACUGGAGUCUGCAAUGUGGCCGGCUCCACGUCCUCGUCCUCCCCGUCAUGACUUCCGAGGUGUCUGGGGACAGUGCAGUCCCCCUGCCUCCCCCCUCCUCCUGUUCUGGGAAGGGAGGGGACGUCUGGCCCACCGGCUGCAGCCCGGCUUCCUGUUUAGAGGCUCGCUCAAGCCACAAUUAUCCCAGCGCAAGACGCAGCUCCUCAGCAGGCCAGACGUCCUCCGUGGGUUUGCAGAAGGGCAGGGUUGUCAGGGCGGCCACUCCCACAGAGGGACAGACGGGCAGUCCAGACUCUGGAGGCCUCUGGGGGCCCCACAGUGCCUGCGUCCUCUCUGUUGGGACCGGUGACGCCUUGGGAGAGCAAACGGAGCAUUCUCUUAUUCCGCCUGGGGACAGCGGGGGGCCUGGCUUCCGCCCUUUGCUCUGGAUGCUGGCGUCUUUUUAUUACGACAUUUUUCAAACAUGCAGAAAAACCACAAGUGCACAAACCACAUGGCUGUUCCACUUACCACCCAGUCACGGGGUCACCAGCGCGUUGUUGUACUGGCUUCCUGCAGGAACACACACACACACACACACACACACGACCCCCCACACUCCAAAUCACAGACAUCGUGACGUCGCACCCCGGAUGCUUCCUUCCCUAAGGACAUCCAGGAAAAUAAGGAGGACUUUCCACACAGCCACAGAACCAUGCCCACGUCCAGCACAGUGGGCAAUGAUCCCUUCAUCCUGCCUGAUGUCCACCUCAUAUUCCAAUUGCCUUGACUCCAAACAUCUUGCAUAGUUUUUUAACAAAACCAAGGUCCAACUGAGGGUCACUGCAGGUGACGUUUCUUUGCCUUUUCUCUGUCACAUCGCAGCACAUCCUCUUCUCCCUCUUAAAGAAAUCAGUCGGGUCCCUGGACCCCCGGAGGCUUGACAGGAAACCACAGUGACGGAGAUGCCAAGUCGUCACGGGAGGGGCACUCAGCACGCAUCCCCAAGGGGGCGGCUUCCCCUUGCAGCUAGCGAGUGCCCGGGUGAUGUUUGCCCCUCCUCUUUAUGCUUUGUCCUGGGGUGGAGAAGUGGGGGGCGUGCAGUCUCAGGUGGAGUCUCAGGUGGCCGAAGCAUAGGUUUUCUUCCAAUUUGGACAUGGGGACACGGGCUCAGAGCCAAGGAGCCUGCCCACCACCCCCGGGGACUUGAAAGCUGGUCCUGGGCUCCUAGCCACUCUGCCACGUCACCGGGACUUUAACUGCCACCCAGACUACUUUUCUGGGGCUGCGUCCCUGCCCCAGGGGAAGCCAGGCCAGGAGUAGGAAGCCUGAGAUGGGCAAGUCCAGAUUUGCACUAGCUGGGACCCGAUACCUGAAGGUCACCGAGGCCUGCAUCUGACCUUCACCUGUUUGCAGUCUUCGGGUGUCAUUUUGAAAUCUGUUCAUGACAGGGACUUAAUAAAACAUGUUAAAUAGUGUUCA
rnacentral:lncRNA from 1 species